rnacentral:lncRNA from 1 species
CCUGUUUGCAUGCUUUCGAACAAAAACAACGGAGGUCUCAGGCAAUUGUUGCAACUUUAACCAACAACUCUCAAUCACAUCUCCCACCUCCAGAUGGUUGAUAACUCCACGUUGAAUACCCUGCACUAGUGCACUGUAAGAGAGGAAUUAGUUUCUACAAGUACCUUCUGAUUUGAGGAGUCAUGAUCCAGGAUCAUGCCUCCUCAACCACCAAUGGCUUCAGCUUCAAAGACUGAAACUGGUCAAGACAGCCUAAGAAUCUUCCCUUCCACAAAAGAGCCUUGAUGAUCUCUCAACACUAUGCCAAUCGAGAAAGGACCCAUCACCCGUGCCAG